CCUUGAUUGUCCAGUGGUCCCUACUAAUUGUUUGGCAGGCUUCCUGCUUCUCGUGGGCUUUAAAAAAAAAUUGCUGAUAGUUUUUGUGUCUUUUGCUAGUUGCUCUUCAAAUUCUUUUGUGCCCUGCCUAAUUGUACUUUUACACAUGACUUACCAGAGUUUAUGUUCCUUGCUAUUUUUCUCUAUUUUCUCGCCUUUCUAUUUUCCAGGAUGCCUUUUUGCCUCUAACUGCCUCUUUUAGUCUAUUGUUUAGCCAGGGUGGCGUUUUUUUUGGUCCUCUCACUGUUUUUUUUAUUUGGGGUAUACAUUUAGCUUGUGCCGCUAUUAUGGUAUUUUUAAAGAGUUUCCAUGCAGGUUGCAGGCAGUUCACUCUUGUGACUGUUCCUUUCAAUUUCCAUUUAACCAGCUUCCUCAUUUUCGUGUCGUUCCCCUUUUUGAAGUUAAAUGCUGCUGUAGUGGGCUUCUUUGGUAUUUUCGCUCCCACAAGGAUGUUAAACUUAAUUACAUUAUGGUUACUAAUAACACGCGGUUCAGCCAUAGUCACCUCUUGGACCAGCUCCUGUGCGCCACUUAGGACUAAAUCAAGCACUGCCUCUCCUCCCCUUUUGGGUUCCAAGACCAGCUGCUCCAAGACACGGUCAUUACUGGUGUCUAGAAAUUUUAUUUGUGCAUCCCGUCCUGCAGUGCCGCAUGCCCACUCAAUAUGGGGAUCAUUGAAAUCACCCAGCGUUACUGAGUUUUCUAUUUUUUUAGCCUCUCUAAUCUCCCUGAUCAUUUCAGAUUCCAUCACCAUCCUGGUCAGGUAGUUGGUAGUAUAUUCCUCCUGCUGUAUUCUUAUGAUUCAAACAGGGAAUUUGUAUCCAUAGAGAUUCCUUGGUACAGUUUAAUCCAUUUAAGCUAUUUACUAUAUUUGACACUCUUUCUUUCUUUCCCAUAUAGUACAACUCCCCCACCAUACACAUCGCUGUGUAUUUUGUACCCUGGUAUUAACAUAUCCCAUUGAUUAUCCUCAUUCCACCAUGUUUCUGUGAUGCCUAUUAUAAUAAUAUUCGCAUUUAGUACCAGGCAGUCAAGUUCACCUAUCUUAGUAUAUAGACUUCUAGCAUGUAUAUAGAAGCACUUAUAAAAUUUGUCACUAUUUAGUUGUCAUGUGAUGUAAUUGAAUAGGAUUCUUUUUCAAAUGACUGUUUCUUUUCAGCGGCUUCUGGGACUUUAUCAACUUCUGUCCUCUCUGCUUCACUAGGCUAUAGAGAACCCCCGUUAACAGAUCCUCCCCUAAGGGAUCUUUCUUUCUGAACCUUGUGCUCCUCUCCACCUGUUGGCUUUCCCCCAGCCCCUAGUUUAAAAAGUCACGGACCACCUUUGUAAUUUUGCAUGCCAGCCGUCUGGUUCUAUUUUGGUUUAGGUGGCGCCCAUCCUUCCUGUACAGCUGCAAAGUGCUUUGCAUGGCGGGCAGGUGACUGUCCAGCUAUGCACCCAGCAUGUGGGCUAAUGAAUGUAUUCUUCUCUAUGUGCCCCUGCUACUGCAUCUGUGCCAUUUGCCACAUAGACACAGGAGCAUGGUGAAGUGCCAGUCCCAGGAUUCACUGCGCUGGACACUGCAUCCUCACUGCAGGUCUGAGACCAUAAUUCUCUCACGUGAUGACUGUAAGCACCACUGCAGCUUAGGGGUGAAGAAGCUGACCCCGCUCCUUGGCUGCCAGGAGGGUUUCAUCCUGUGUGGUUAGACGAUUGCCUCUAACUUACCAGCACACUGUAGUUUUGCAGGAGGGCAUGAGAAACCAGUAGCCACCUUCAAAGGCUCCAUUAAUACCCACAAGACUGAUUGUAGCCACCAUCACACACCUGAUACCU